UUGAAAGGGAAACGAUUGAAGUCAGUCGUACCUGCGGGUAAUCAGCCUUUUGGGUGUGAUUAUGUGGAGCGUGAGGAGUUAAUCACCCUCAUCUUUGCAUAUUCGUGCACUUUGGGUGUACUUGCUCGUGUGGUAGGUUAACAUCAAUUUUGAUCAUCAUAAAAUGAUUGGAGGAAUGUAGCUUCGAUCUCGUAUUGAAGUGUUAUAGCCUUUGGUAGUUGUGAUGAUCGGGAUUGAGGAUUGCAACGGAUACCCUUCGGGGCUACCCGUCUGAUCUCUGAAAGUUGCUCUGGUGCUGAAAGCUUGCUUAUGGUAUCAAAGUUGACGUUCAAUAGGUUAGAACGGGAUAAAUUCGUUAAGGAUGUUGACGUA
rnacentral:rRNA from 1 species